CGCAGCAGAUAGGAUUCGAGCCUACGCGGGGAAACCUGAAUGGAUUUCGAGUCCAUCGCCUUAACCACUCGGCCACGACAGC
rnacentral:tRNA from 13 species